AAUCCAUAGGUUAAUGAGGCGAACCGGGGGAACUGAAACAUCUAAGUACCCCGAGGAAAAGAAAUCAACCGAGAUUCCCCCAGUAGCGGCGAGCGAACGGGGAGGAGCCCAGAGCCUGAAUCAGCAUGUGUGUUAGUGGAAGCGUCUGGAAAGGCGCGCGAUACAGGGUGACAGCCCCGUACACAAAAGCGCAUGUGCUGUGAGCUCGAUGAGUAGGGCGGGACACGUGGUAUCCUGUCUGAAUAUGGGGGGACCAUCCUCCAAGGCUAAAUACUCCUGACUGACCGAUAGUGAACCAGUACCGUGAGGGAAAGGCGAAAAGAACCCCGGCGAGGGGAGUGAAAAAGAACCUGAAACCGUGUACGUACAAGCAGUGGGAGCACAGGUUUACCUGUGUGACUGCGUACCUUUUGUAUAAUGGGUCAGCGACUUAUAUUCUGUAGCAAGGUUAACCGUAUAGGGGAGCCGUAGGGAAACCGAGUCUUAACCGGGCGUUAAGUUGCAGGGUAUAGACCCGAAACCCGGUGAUCUAGCCAUGGGCAGGUUGAAGGUUGGGUAACACUAACUGGAGGACCGAACCGACUAAUGUUGAAAAAUUAGCGGAUGACCUGUGGCUGGGGGUGAAAGGCCAAUCAAACCGGGAGAUAGCUGGUUCUCCCCGAAAGCUAUUUAGGUAGCGCCUCGUGAAUUCAUCUCCGGGGGUAGAGCACUGUUUCGGCUAGGGGGCCAUCCCGGCUUACCAACCCGAUGCAAACUGCGAAUACCGGAGAAUGUUAUCACGGGAGACACACGGCGGGUGCUAACGUCCGUCGUGAAGAGGGAAACAACCCAGACCGCCAGCUAAGGUCCCAAAGUCAUGGUUAAGUGGGAAACGAUGUGGGAAGGCCCAGACAGCCAGGAUGUUGGCUUAGAAGCAGCCAUCAUUUAAAGAAAGCGUAAUAGCUCACUGGUCGAGUCGGCCUGCGCGGAAGAUGUAACGGGGCUAAACCAUGCACCGAAGCUGCGGC
rnacentral:rRNA from 1 species